rnacentral:rRNA from 1 species
AGUGAACGCUGGCGGCAGGCCUAACACAUGCAAGUCGAACGGCAGCACAGUAAGAUCUUGCUCUUACGGGUGGCGAGUGGCGGACGGGUGAGGAAUACAUCAGAAUCUACUUUUUCUUGGGUGAUAACGUAGGGAAACUUCCGCUAAUACCGCAUACGACCUACGGGUGAAAGCAGGAGAUCUUCGGACCUUUCGCGAUUGAAUGAGCCGAUGUCGGAUUAGCUAGUUGGCGGGGUAAAGGCCCACCAAGGCGACGAUCCGUAGCUGGUCUGAGAGGAUGAUCAGCCACACUGGAACUGAGACACGGUCCAGACUCCUACGGGAGGCAGCAGUGGGGAAUAUUGGACAAAGGGCGAAAGCCUGAUCCAGCAAUACCGCGUGGGUGAAGAAGGCCUUCGGGUUGUAAAGCCCUUUUGUUGGGAAAGAAAAGAAGCAGGUUAAUCCACCGAUGUCCUGACGGUACCCAAAGAAUAAGCAACGGCUAACUUCGUG